CACGUAGGGUGCGAGCGUUGUCCGAAUUAUUGGGCGUAAAGAGCUCGUAGGCGGUGUGUCGCGUCGGCCGUGAAAACCUGCAGCUUAACUGUGGGCUUGCGGUCGAUACGGGCAUCACUGGAGUUCGGCAGGGGAGACUGGAAUUCCUGGUGUAGCGGUGAAAUGCGCAGAUAUCAGGAGGAACACCGGUGGCGAAGGCGGGUCUCUGGGCCGAUACUGACGCUGAGGAGCGAAAGCGUGGGGAGCGAACAGG
rnacentral:rRNA from 1 species